AAAACAUUUUAAAAAUAUUGCAAAAUUUAUUUAGAAUGUUAUUUACAGAUUCAGCCAAUUCUAUAAGGAAAAAAUUUUAUAAAUCAACGAUGAUAUAAUGAACAAAUGAAAAACCUUAUUUUGAUACAAAAGAACCAAAACAAAAUUCAUUCAUUGAACAUUUUUUAAACUAAUAAAAAUCUUUUAACCAUAUUGAGAAAAAAGGGAAUGACAUAUUUCUCAGCAAUUUUUUUCUAAAGUCAAACUGAACUGCAUUAUUCAAAUUUCUUUAAACUGAAAUUGAUAAUAGAUUUUCAACCACUAAAUGUUAACAUCAACAAAAAUAGAAAAAAAAAAAAAAAAUCUCAAUC